AACAAUGACUAAUCAAACUAACCUCAAAACAAAUGAUAACCAUACACAACACUAAAGGACGAACCUGAUCUCUUAUACUAGUAUCCUUAAUCAUUUUUAUUGCCACAACUAACCUCCUCGGACUCCUGCCUCACUCAUUUACACCAACCACCCAACUAUCUAUAAACCUAGCCAUGGCCAUCCCCUUAUGAGCGGGCACAGUGAUUAUAGGCUUUCGCUCUAAGAUUAAAAAUGCCCUAGCCCACUUCUUACCACAAGGCACACCUACACCCCUUAUCCCCAUACUAGUUAUUAUCGAAACCAUCAGCCUACUCAUUCAACCAAUAGCCCUGGCCGUACGCCUAACCGCUAACAUUACUGCAGGCCACCUACUCAUGCACCUAAUUGGAAGCGCCACCCUAGCAAUAUCAACCAUUAACCUUCCCUCUACACUUAUCAUCUUCACAAUUCUAAUUCUACUGACUAUCCUAGAAAUCGCUGUCGCCUUAAUCCAAGCCUACGUUUUCACACUUCUAGUAAGCCUCUACCUGCACGACAACACAUAAUGACCCACCAAUCACAUGCCUAUCAUAUAGUAAAACCCAGCCCAUGACCCCUAACAGGGGCCCUCUCAGCCCUCCUAAUGACCUCCGGCCUAGCCAUGUGAUUUCACUUCCACUCCAUAACGCUCCUCAUACUAGGCCUACUAACCAACACACUAACCAUAUACCAAUGAUGGCGCGAUGUAACACGAGAAAGCACAUACCAAGGCCACCACACACCACCUGUCCAAAAAGGCCUUCGAUACGGGAUAAUCCUAUUUAUUACCUCAGAAGUUUUUUUCUUCGCAGGAUUUUUCUGAGCCUUUUACCACUCCAGCCUAGCCCCUACCCCCCAAUUAGGAGGGCACUGGCCCCCAACAGGCAUCACCCCGCUAAAUCCCCUAGAAGUCCCACUCCUAAACACAUCCGUAUUACUCGCAUCAGGAGUAUCAAUCACCUGAGCUCACCAUAGUCUAAUAGAAAACAACCGAAACCAAAUAAUUCAAGCACUGCUUAUUACAAUUUUACUGGGUCUCUAUUUUACCCUCCUACAAGCCUCAGAGUACUUCGAGUCUCCCUUCACCAUUUCCGACGGCAUCUACGGCUCAACAUUUUUUGUAGCCACAGGCUUCCACGGACUUCACGUCAUUAUUGGCUCAACUUUCCUCACUAUCUGCUUCAUCCGCCAACUAAUAUUUCACUUUACAUCCAAACAUCACUUUGGCUUCGAAGCCGCCGCCUGAUACUGGCAUUUUGUAGAUGUGGUUUGACUAUUUCUGUAUGUCUCCAUCUAUUGAUGAGGGUCU
rnacentral:lncRNA from 1 species